AAAAAAUCAGAGGUCUGUACUUUUCUCCUCUGUUCUGGCCUCUAGUAAACUUCAGGAAAAUUAUUUUCACCAUUAUUGGGUGAACCUUUUUAAACUAUACUUGUGAAUAAAGGUUCAAUACAUGUUGCGACAUUA
rnacentral:snoRNA from 1 species